GCUGGUAUAGCUUAGUUGGUUAGAGCGCACCCUUGGUAAGGGUGAGAUCCCCAGUUCAAAUCUGGGUAUCAGCA
rnacentral:tRNA from 1 species